AUUGAACGCUGGCGGCAGGCCUAACACAUGCAAGUCGAGCGGAUGACGGGAGCUUGCUCCUUGAUUCAGCGGCGGACGGGUGAGUAAUGCCUAGGAAUCUGCCUGGUAGUGGGGGACAACGGUUCGAAAGGAACGCUAAUACCGCAUACGUCCUACGGGAGAAAGCAGGGGACCUUCGGGCGUUGCGCUAUCAGAUGAGCCUAGGUCGGAUUAGCUAGUUGGUGGGGUAAUGGCUCACCAAGGCGACGAUCCGUAACUGGUCUGAGAGGAUGAUCAGUCACACUGGAACUGAGACACGGUCCAGACUCCUACGGGAGGCAGCAGUGGGGAAUAUUGGACAAUGGGCGAAAGCCUGAUCCAGCCAUGCCGCGUGUGUGAAGAAGGUCUUCGGAUUGUAAAGCACUUUAAGUUGGGAGGAAGGGCAGUAAGUUAAUACCUUGCUGUUUUGACGUUACCGACAGAAUAAGCACCGGCUAACUCUGUGCCAGCAGCCGCAGUAACAC
rnacentral:rRNA from 1 species